CUGAAUUCGACCACCACAACAAAAUGCGGAUUGCAGGGUGUGAACAGAAAACUCGCGGGAGCAAUCACGCCAGCUCUGUUCAAGUGCAUCUGAUUAAUAACUACCAAUAAUGGCAACAAUGAAUAACUCAGUUUUGGAUCGUGCCUCAGAACCUGAGACUGCAGCUAAUAACUCUAAUUUGGAUUCUCUCCCAAAGCCUCAAGUUAUUUAUCGCUGUAAAAAAUGUCGGAGGCUUGUUGCAUCAGCAGAGAACAUAGUUUCCCAUGAACGAGGAAAAGGAGAACAAUGCUUUAAAUGGAAAAAGAGAAGCGGUGACCCCUUUGAAAGGGAACCAGCUGAAUGCUCCUCCAUUUUUGUAGAGCCCAUGAAAUGGAUGCAAACAGUACAAGAAGGUUUUGUGGGAGAGAAACUUCAGUGCAUGGGAUGCAAAGCACGCUUGGGUUCCUUCAACUGGGCAGGCAUGCAAUGCAAUUGUGGUACAUGGGUUAAUCCUGCAUUCCAGCUACACAAAAGCAGAUUAGAUGAAUGCUUUAUAUGAGUCAUAUCUAUUUUUGUUACAACAGAAUGAGUGGAAGUCCUAGCAAUUGUUGAAGGUAGAUAUCGCACAUAGGUGACCUAAAGUUUACCAUGCUUAGAUUUCCGAUAGAGGCACAAAAUAUAUUGGAACUGGUGGGCAGAAUAUAUAAAUUAACACCUAAAUUUUAUUUGGGAAGUUUGUUGGCACCCUCAACUUUUAUUAUAAUCUAUUUGAUCCUUAUAAUUUUAAAUUUUUUUAGUAACCAAUAGAUCAUUGAUUGAAUAAAUUAUCGGCCUGUAUGUUGACAAGGCGAAAAUAUCGACAUCACUUUCAUUUUUUUCAACUUUUUCAUUCAUUUUCGGUCAUUUUUAUCCAUCUCUUCUCUCUACCCCUUUCUCUGAUACCUUAUUCUUUAUUCAAGUUUAGCUACAAAAUAAAGACAUGUAUGCUAUCAUGUUUUAUUUCUAUUUGAUAUGUGGCCCUGUUUAUUUGGCUAACUGGCACCUUGUUCAUAUAUUUAAGUUCUAACUUACUUUGCUUGACUCUCAUCAUUAGCUUUCUCUGAAUCACCUAUUCUGUGGAAUUUGUGCACCAGUUAAUACUCCUUUUUACGCUUUUAUAUUAUUCACUACUCUUCCUAUUUCACUACAAAAGGCAUAUUAAGCAAAUUAACUAAAGAAUUAAAACUAUUAUCUCACUAACAAAUUUUCAUCUUUGAUAAUCAUUCAAAUACAUUUGUAUUUCAUUUUGGAAACAGCAAAUGGAUUUGCUUGGUUUGGGGACAAGACUUUGUUUAAAAGAGAGCUUUUG
rnacentral:misc_RNA from 1 species